UACAGAGGUCUCAAGCGUUGUUCGGAUUCAUUGGGCUUAAAGGGUGCGUAGGCGGCGCGGUAAGUCGGGUGUGAAAUCUCGGGGCUUAACUCCGAAACUGCAUUCGAUACUGCCGUGCUUGAGUACUGGAGAGGAGACUGGAAUUUACGGUGUAGCGGUGAAAUGCGUAGAUAUCGUAAGGAAGACCAGUGGCGAAGGCGGGUCUCUGGACAGUCACUGACGCUGAGGCACGAAGGUCAGGGGAGCAAACGGG
rnacentral:rRNA from 1 species